UCGACGUCCUACGGGGAGGCAGCAGUGGGGGAAUAUUGCACAAUGGGCGCAAGCCUGAUGCAGCCAUGCCGCGUGUGUGAAGAAGGCCUCGGGUUGUAAAGCACUUUCAGUCGUGAGGAAGGUGGUAGUGUUAAUAGCACUAUCAUUUGACGUUAGCGACAGAAGAAGCACCGGCUAACUCCGUGCCAGCAGCCGCGGUAAUACGGAGGGUGCGAGCGUUAAUCGGAAUUACUGGGCGUAAAGCGCAUGCAGGUGGUUUGUUUAAGUCAGAUGUGAAAGACCCGGGGCUCAACCUCGGAAUAGCAUUUGUAAACUAGGCAGACUAGAGUACUGUAGAGGGGGGUAGGAAUUUCUAGGUGUAGCGGUGAAAUAGCGUAGAGAUCUGAAGGAAUACCGGUGGCGAAGGCGGCCCCCUGGACAGAUACUGACACUCAGAUGCGAAAGCGUGGGGAGCAAACAGGAUUAGAUACCCUGGUAG
rnacentral:rRNA from 1 species